UACAGAGGUCCCAAGCGUUGUUCGGAUUCACUGGGCGUAAAGCGCACGCAGGCGGUCCUAUUAGUCUGGGGUGACAGUUCCCGGCUUAACCGGAAAAGGACUCUGGAAACUGUAGGACUUGAGGGCUUCAGAGGGAUGUGGAAUUCCAGGUGGAGUGGUGAAAUGCGUAGAGAUCUGGAAGAACACCAAAGGCGAAGGCAGCAUCCUGGGAAGUUCCUGACGCUCGGGUGCGAAAGCCAGGGGAGCGAACGGG
rnacentral:rRNA from 1 species